AUUGAACGCUGGCGGCAGGCCUAACACAUGCAAGUCGAACGAGUGGCGGACGGGUGAGUAAUGUCUGGGAAACUGCCUGAUGGAGGGGGAUAACUACUGGAAACGGUAGCUAAUACCGCAUACCAUCGGAUGUGCCCAGAUGGGAUUAGCUUGUUGGUGGGGUAACGGCUCACCUAGGCGACGAUCCGUAUCUGGUCUGAGAGGAUGAUCAGACACCCUGGAACUGAGCCACGGUCCAGACUCCUACGGGAGGCAGCAGUGGGGAAUAUUGGACAAUGGGCGAAAGCCUGAUGCAGCCAUGCCGCGUGUGUGAAGAAGGCCUUCGGGUUGUAAAGUACGUUCAGCUGGGAGGCGUUACCCACAGAAUAAGCACCGGCUAACUCCGUGCCAGCAGCCGCGGUAAUUC
rnacentral:rRNA from 1 species